rnacentral:rRNA from 1 species
CCUACGGGAGGCAGCAGUGAGGAAUUUUCCGCAAUGGGCGAAAGCCUGACGGAGCAAUACCGCGUGAGGGAUGAAGGAUUUUGGUCUGUAAACCUCUUUUCUCAAGAAAGAAGUUCUGACGGUACUUGAGGAAUAAGCAUCGGCUAACUCCGUGCCAGCAGCCGCGGUAAUACGGGGGAUGCAAGCGUUAUCCGGAAUGAUUGGGCGUAAAGCGCCUGUAGGUUGUUUAUUAAGUCCGUUGUUAAAGCCUAGGGCUUAACCCUAGAAAAGCAAUGGAAACUAGUAGACUAGAGUAUGGCAGGGGUAGAGGGAAUUUCUAGUGUAGCGGUGAAAUGCGUAGAUAUUAGAAAGAACACCGGUGGCGAAAGCGCUCUACUGGACCAUUACUGACACUCAGAGGCGAAAGCUAGGGUAGCAAAAGGGGAUUAGAUACCCCUGUAGUCCUAGCCGUAAACGAUGGAUACUAGAUGUUGUGCAUUAUGUACAGUAUCGUAGCUAACGCGUUAAGUAUCCCGCCUGGGGAGUCGCUCGCAAGGGUGAACUCAAAUGAAUUGAGCGNGAGAAGUGCGAGACGACGACGAGGGAGAGG